UACUGGUGGUUAGGCGCAACUGCAUGCAACGGGUCCUUCAGGCGCAUUCAUGGCCCCUCCCACCAAAGCAGUAAUGAAAGCUGGUGGAGACCGUUGUAUGCAGUUGCAGCGCACACACACUGAUGUAUUAUUGUGUGCUUGUUUUUACAUCAGAUCCUGCCAGUAAAAAGCUCUGAAGGACA